CUGCUGUAUAAAAGGCAAAACCCUCCCACCUUCAAGACACACAACGGUGCCAUCCAUCUUUAUUUGUUACAGCUGAACAGAUGGCCAACUAGUAUUAUGAUCAUCCAUCGAUUAUCCAGUGGGUCCACUCAUGACACAAGGGAGAAACAGAAAUGGUGUUUAGCAUGUGUAUAUGUGAGAGGACAGCUCCUUCUGAGAUGUAACUGUGGGGAAACAAUAUAAAUUUUUUUUUUAAAAACCCAGAGAGAAGCAAAAGGACUCAGGACACAGAAGUUGAAAAAGGACUCAAAAGAACCAGCUGUCAUUUUGGUGAGAGGUUGCCAACUGUGCGUGGCUCGGCAUGUGCAGCUGCUAGUGAGGCUGCAAAAAGCCGAGGGGCAGACCGAUAUUGAACACGUGAACUAGUUAACCAGUGACACAAUAUAAAAUGACUCCACUAAGCCUCAUACAUGAAUAAUCCAAUUUAAGUCAUAAUCAUAUGCAAGGUUAAGAGCUGGCAUCAUACAAAUCAAUACAACUCAAUCUACUUGCUCUGCGAGGGCAGCAGAUGCUACCCCGAACAGAUGAUACAGAGUUAAUAGCCUUUUCAUAAAUGGUCCAUCUGCUAGACAAGCUAAAAAUUGUGAAGGUCCAGUUGCGUAAAAUUCUUUGCUUACAAAAACCUGAAUAACCGGUGUUGCCAUUUGUUAUUGAUUUGUUUAUGUCUAGAAGCAAGACAAUUUGAAGUGGUUAUGAUUUGUUCCUGAGUGGCGCUUUGUUGUUGUUGUUUACACUUUUGUCUAACAUUACGGAUUCUAAACUUAGAUCAGUUUUGUAUUCGGUGAGCGACAAUUCCUCGGUCCAAUCAUCUUUUAAAAAUUUUUCAUUUUUUGUCUUUGACGUUUCCUUUAAACUAAACUGUGUAGUGCAUUUGAUAAUGCCGGUGUAAACAAUGCAAAAAAAAUCUAUGAAAAUUCUUCCCCUUUGCGACUUCAUUUCUCCAACCACGUAGCUAGUCUCUGGGCCGAUAAGCUGUUUUCAGCGAAAUAAUCUACAAAAGUCGCAUGUGAUUGGUCAACACCUUAUAUACGAUGAGCUGCUUAAUCAGUCUGUACAUGUUUUCGGUGAGUUUUUUGUGAUCGUUGCAGCCAAAAACGUUCGAUUUUGCUGCAGCUUAUUUUUCAAAAUUUGUGAUGCAAUUCGGGGUCUUUUUUUUUUGUGGAAAACUAUUUAAAUUGGCAAAAUUGCAAUCGCAGUACAUUUUUUUUUGCAUGGUCUUUCACUGAUAUUUGUUGGUAAAUGAAACCUUUUAGCUGCACUCGUUCUCGUGUCAGCCGAAUAAUGCGGCGUUUUCUUGAUUUUACAAUAAUUUCUGCAAUGACUAAAUGGUGAAAUCCUGGAAGGACUGCUCAAUAGUUAGAAAGCUAGAGUCACUGAAUUAGGACCAGCUUUUUACCAGUUUUGGAUACUAUAGUGACCAUCUUACAGUGACUACACUUACAAAGCUCGUUUACCUGAUUCGCUCUACACAUCCAAAAUAAAUGCCUUAUGCAAUUAACCACACUGAUAGGGGGUAUCUGUAUCUGUUUUCCAGGUUGCAUCAGUAAAUUAACAUGAACUUGAACACUUGAAUCUUGACUGUAGCAGCAAAACAAACUAGCAGACAGACUGGUAGUCCUUAAGGAUACUUGACCUGCGCCAUUUUAUCACUGAUUACUCAUCAGCAGGCACUGCCUACUGUAAUUAAUAACAUGCAAGUUACACAAGCUUAAAACUGACACGCUUUCAAAUCCAUCGCUUCAAUAUGGAGCCCAUCGGCGGCAAGAAUGCAGCUGCUGUGUAAACAAAACAACCGAUCAACAAUUACACCAAAGAUACAAAUAACGCAUCCAAGUCGCCGGAUCCAGGGUUGUUAAAACCACUCGGUUGUUAACGGUAGCCUCGAUCAGUAAUUAGUUCCAGGACCGUUGUUUCCUAACAACAGGUUACAAACCUCCAGCCAUAAGCUGCAUUACAGCAAAUAUACAGAACCUGCCCCGUUAUUAUUCUGGGUCAGAGGGGCGAGUGCUGGCUGGCAAUAUCACCAGCUAGCAGAAAUAUCAUGAACAUUUCUGUAGCAUGAACAUUAAAGGACAUUAUGGCAUUUGUAACAAGAAAGCGUUUUAACGUCAUUUCAGAGAUGCCGGUGGGGGUGGCCACACUGCUACACAGUUAGCUCUAUAAACAAAACCAUACCCAGCUAGCAGUCCGUACAGCUUGCUAGCGAGCUUAGGCGACCAUUUAAUUAGCCGACUAGGCAGGGUAGAAAAGAAAAUAAUAAACAGGCCCAGGUUUAUAUACACACAGAGAGAUAUGUAUUUGUACAGGUUUUCAUCCGAGGUCGUUCAAUGCGAUAACAAGCAUCGCGAAUGCUAUCGUGACAAACUAUUCUGCCAUGUUUACAAGCUAUCGUCGUUAGCCUGGAAGCUAACUAGCGGUUAGCCAGCCGUUGUUCGAAACAUAAAGGUUAGCUCAACCCAAGCACGUUACACGUCCAAUUAUCCAGAACUUACCUCUAGAUAUAUAUCCUUGUCUUUCUACAAUUACAACCCAAACGGAUAAUCCGCCCAAUGUUUACGGUUCGGCGGUUUCAAUAUCCACACUCGCAGCGGCGCUACAAUGAAGACGCUGUGGCUGCCGGCAGCCUCGGGCUCGCGC
ensembl:lncRNA